UCAAUAUAAAUUGAUUAGAUUUUAUUUAUUAAUUUUGUUUAUUGAAAUAUUAAAAAUAAUUAUAAGGAUUAAAGUUUAAGUAUUUUUUAUUGAAUAAAUAAUUUUUAUUAUAGUGUAAUAGUAAUGUGAAUGAAUAUUGAAAUAUUUUGAAAAAUUUUUAAUUUAAAAGAAGACUUAGUUUAUUGUACCUUGUGUAUCAGGGUGUAUUAAUUAAAUAAUAAGUAUUUAUUUUUCUCGAUUUUAUAAGAGUUAAUAAUUUAUAAAAGUUAAUGUAUCAAAAUUAUUUUUAAUAAAUUAUUAGUAAUGAAAUGUUAUUCGUUUAUAAAGGUAUCUAGUUUUUCUAGAAAUAAAUUUAAUUUAGCAAUUUUAAAUUUAUUAUCUAAUUGUUUAGGUAAUAAAGUUUUUAUUGUAAUCUUUUAGGGGAUAAGCUUUAGAAGAAAUUUUUAAAAGUUAGUUAAUUAAUUGUUGAAAUGUAUGUAUAGAAUUUGCAAUCAUUUUUAAGUUUGUUAUAAAUUAUUUUUUGUUUAUAUUAUUUAUUUUUCUUUAAAUUAUUUAUAGAAAUUUUUAUUUUAAUUGGUUAAAUUAAUUAAUAAUGAUAUAAUUAGUAUAUAAAUAUGGUGUGUAGAUAUAUUUAUUUGAUAAGUUUGUGUAAAGAAUUCGGCAAAUUUUAUGCCCGCCUGUUUAACAAAAACAUGUCUUUUUGAGUUAUUUUUAAAGUCUAACCUGCCCAAUGAAUUAAUUUGAAUGGCCGCAGUAUACUAACUGUGCAAAGGUAGCAUAAUCAUUAGUCUUUUAAUUGAAGGCUGGUAUGAAUGGUUGGACGAGGUAUAAGCUGUUUCAUAUGAAUUUAUAAUAGAAUUUUAUUUUUUAGUCAAAAAGCUAGGAUGUAUUUAAAAGACGAGAAGACCCUAUAAAUCAUUUAUAUUAUGUUUUGUUUAAGUUUUAUAGAUUUAUUUUACUUUUAUGAAAUAGAAUAUUUUAUUGGGGUGAUAUUAAAAUUUAAUAAACUUUUAAUUUGUUUAUCAUUAAUUUAUGAAUGAUUGAUCCGUUAUUAACGAUUAUAAGUUUAAGUUACUUUAGGGAUAACACGUAAUUUUUUUGGAGAGUUCAUAUCGAUAAAAGAGAUUGCGACCUCGAUGUUGGAUUAAGAUAUAAUUUUAGGUGUAGCCGCUUAAAUUUUGAUCUGUUCGACUUUU
rnacentral:rRNA from 1 species